CGCCCACCGCUGUCACUUCUGUGCUCUUCAACAGAGCUCUUCACCAAUGUCUAGAAAACUGCGAUUUACAGUGGUCAGACGCGAUCGGUAUCAUAAACACUUUCACUAAAAGGAUUGUCCUGGUCAUCUGAUGAACGACAAGGCAGAGGUGUUUUUGUUUCAAGGCAGACCAUAGGAUUUUGGUUUGUAAAUGAAGUGGUCUCCCGCAGUUUUCUGAGAAUGAGGGAGUUGCUGCAGCUGAAUUUGGGCUUCUUCACCAAAUCCUGCCUCGUGCUCGGGUUCCUCUGCGGGAUUCACCUCAUCGUUGCUUUGUUUUUUUAUUUAUCAGAGUCGCCUUUAAAAUUUAUGAGUUACCGACAAAUUCUGCCAUUCUCUGAUAUAUUUAAUUCACAAACUCAUAAAACCGCCGUAUUUGGCAUCCAGAAUGGCACUGGAACAGAGGUAGAUGAAAAGAAAUGGAUCUACACCAAUAGAAGUGACGUGAAAGAUGACGUGGUACUAGAGUCGUGUCCCGAGACGUCUCCACUGCUGGUGGGUCCACUGCGAGUUGAAUUUUCUGAUCCGGUAAAUCUGGAUAUGGUGCGUAAAAAUAAUCCACAGCUGCUGAUGGGUGGCAGGUAUAAGCCCAGCGAUUGUGUGGCUCUGCAAAAAGUGGCAAUAAUCAUCCCAUUCAGGAACAGAGGUGAACACCUGAAGUACUGGCUCUACUACCUUCACCCCAUCCUGCAGAGACAACAGCUGGAUUAUGGGAUUUAUGUCAUACAACAGGACGGAGAGGAUACAUUUAACAGGGCGAAACUGCUCAAUGUGGGUUAUGCAGAGGCUCUGAAGGAGUACGAUUAUGACUGUUUCAUCUUCAGUGAUGUAGACAUAGUUCCAAUGGACGACCGCAACACCUACAAGUGCUCUAGCCAGCCACGCCACCUUUCUGUGUCCAUGGACAAGUUUGGUUUUAGGUUACCAUAUAAACAGUAUUUCGGGGGUGUAUCAGCAAUGAGUAAAGAGCAGUUUCAAAAGAUCAAUGGUUUUCCCAAUAACUACUGGGGCUGGGGAGGAGAAGACGAUGACAUUUUUAACAGGCUGGUAUUUCGAGGUAUGAAAAUAUCAAGGCCGAGUGGAGACAUUGGUAAAUGUAGAAUGAUCCGUCACUCGAGAGACAAGAAAAAUGAGCCAAACCCACAGAGAUUUAAGAGAAUCAAUCACACACGACAGACAAUGAACACGGAUGGCAUCAAAUCACUCAUAUACAAAGUGAUCGAUAUAGAGAAAGACCAGCUCUACAGCAAAAUCACAGUGGACAUCGGCAAGCCAUGAAACCUCUAGAGCUCUGAAGGAACAUUUCGCUCACUGCGACUCUUCGGAGAUCUUAAAACUGCACAGCCACUCUGAAUCGGUUCAAAACAACGAAAGCACAUGCUAGAAAAACUUGUCUGAGAAACAAGUUAGAAUGAAAGUGACAUUCUUCUAUACACAAAGUGAAAGCACAGAUGUAAUUUUUAACAUUCCUGAUUAUUAUCCUCAUGCAACUGUGUGCCUCAUUAUCAGUGUCAACUUUAACAAAGCUCAAGUUCAUUCUUGUGAGCCUUCUAUGCAAAGCAGUCAGUGAAGAUCACGCCUCAAGAAAAAACUGACUACAGAAUGCAAGUUCAGCAACUAACACAAACUGACACGCUCCUUACAAAUCUCCUCACAGAGCUUUUAAGAAAAGACAGUUUUGGAACAACUUGAGGGUGAGUAAACAAUGACAGAAUUUUCAUUUUUGGGUGAACUAUUCCUUAAAUUAACAAAAUGUAUGUAAUACAUUUUAAAUACAAAAAUGUUGUUUCAUUACACUGUUUUACAAUAUCAUUUAAAAGACACUCCUACAGUACAUAGUGUUCUUUUCUUUUGAUUACUGAUUAUUAUUUAUUUUGAUUGGUGGAGGUUGAGUGUUGUGUUUAGGCAAUAAAAAAUAUCCCACACUAGGCCAGUGGGACCCCCUGAAUAUUAAGUAAUAAUAAUUGGUGAUAUUAUUUGGUGGGGGGGGGGUAUAGUUGUAGCUAAAGAAAUAAAUCAUGAACAAUUUCAGGCUCUUAUCAACUAUGAAAAAGUGACUGAAAAAGCAAACAUUGAUGGGAGAGUGUUUAGACUGAUGUUUC